AUUGAACGCUGGCGGCAGGCCUAACACAUGCAAGUCGAGCGGAUGAAGGGAGCUUGCUCCCUGAUUCAGCGGCGGACGGGUGAGUAAUGCCUAGGAAUCUGCCUGGUAGUGGGGGACAACGUCUCGAAAGGGACGCUAAUACCGCAUACGUCCUACGGGAGAAAGCAGGGGACCUUCGGGCCUUGCGCUAUCAGAUGAGCCUAGGUCGGAUUAGCUUGUUGGUGAGGUAAUGGCUCACCAAGGCUGCGAUCCGUAACUGGUCUGAGAGGAUGAUCAGUCACACUGGAACUGAGACACGGUCCAGACUCCUACGGGAGGCAGCAGUGGGGAAUAUUGGACAAUGGGCGAAAGCCUGGUCCAGCCAUGCCGCGUGUGUGAAGAAGGUCUUCGGAUUGUAAAGCACUUUAAGUUGGGAGGAAGGGCAGUAAGUUAAUACCUUGCUGUUUUGACGUUACCGACAGAAUAAGCACCGGCUAACUUCGUGCCAGCCGCCGCCGUAA
rnacentral:rRNA from 1 species